AGUGAACGCUGGCGGUAGGCCUAACACAUGCAAGUCGAACGGCAGCACAGUAAGAGCUUGCUCUUACGGGUGGCGAGUGGCGGACGGGUGAGGAAUACAUCGGAAUCUACUUUUUCGUGGGGGAUAACGUAGGGAAACUUACGCUAAUACCGCAUACGACCUACGGGUGAAAGCAGGGGAUCUUCGGACCUUGCGCGAUUGAAUGAGCCGAUGUCGGAUUAGCUAGUUGGCGGGGUAAAGGCACACCAAGGCGACGAUCCGUAGCUGGUCUGAGAGGAUGAUCAGCCACACUGGAACUGAGACACGGUCCAGACUCCUACGGGAGGCAGCAGUGGGGAAUAUUGGACAAUGGGCGCAAGCCUGAUCCAGCCAUACCGCGUGAGUGAAGAAGGCCUUCGGGUUGUAAAGCCCUGUUGUUGGGAAAGAAAAGCAGCAGGUUAAUACCCCGCUGUUCUGACGGUACCCAAAGAAUAAGCACCGGCUAACUUCGUG
rnacentral:rRNA from 1 species